rnacentral:lncRNA from 13 species
GGAUGAGAGUUCUCACAAUUAAAAAAGAGGACUCUAUGACUAGAAAGGGUUGAACACGGACUUGUAACACUGAUAUGUGAAGGACUCAAACAGAAGGUGGAGGGAUUACUGUGGACAGAGCACUUGGCGACAGCAGUCUAUAUUCUACAAGGCUCAGUUUCAGGAGCCCAGUUCCUGGAGUGAGAGCAGCUGGCGCAGUGCCAGCCAGGCAGGUGGCAAGCCAGCAGCCAAGCAUUGUUUUAUUAACGGCUCAGGGCAGAUGGUCAGCGCCAUUCCUGGAACUGGAGACCAGUGAGCAGAAUACAAUCUAAUUGUCAGCC